GGGGAUAGGGGUAGGGGUCUAAGGAGAGCGAAAGAGAGCAGGCGGCGACGCCGGAGGUGGCGGCUGGAGGGGUGUGGCGGCGGUGGAGGGUGCGGGAGGGGUUUCCGACUUCGAGGGUGGGGAAGAGAGGAAGAGGAGUGGUAGUCGCUGAACGUGGCGGGGGGGAGGGCGUGGUCUAGCCCGUCUUCCACCCCUGCACUUAGUCCGAGUCUAGGCCGUGCCGGUCUCGUGACCAAGGGCAACUCUACGGUACCUAUUCCACGAGACCGGGACCACGAUGUCGGUACCUCUUCCACGGGAGGGGUAGAGAGAAGAGAGAGAGAGAGAGCCUAAGCUAAAUUAAAGUCCAACGGGUGGGCUGGGGCUGGUUGCUCUGGACCUGAAUCACGAUUACGAGCAUCGUUACUAUGGGCCUUUUGAUUUACUAACUUACCCUCUUUUUCUUCCUUGCUCGAAUCCUUAGUCGAACCCCCACCCUUUUCUUACUAUUUGUGUACAUUAAAAAUAUACUCUAAGUGUGAAUUAAUAGUUCAGUGUAAACUUGAGAUUCACAAGACAAAAGGUUUUAAGUCAUUUGUUCAAACAGGUGGUCCGAGUCACUUCCCCUGGAAUCAAACCCACUAACCUCCGAAUGAUCUUACUACUUUGUUCGACUGGAUUAUAUAUUACUUCUAUUAGAUAAUGUUUAUGAGUUUCCCGAGCUCCGUUUCCCUUUGACUCCGUCCGACAACGACAAUGGCUCACCCACAUGUUACCUUUAUCAAUGUUCGUAGCUUCUUCGUCCAUUAAAAGACAACUACGUAAGUAAACCAUGAAUAAAGAAAGAAAGGUCGGUGGCAUUCGUAUUAAAGUACCACGCUUUAAUACGACCUUAUAGUUAUUGAAUUGAUUAUAAACGAGACCAUUUACAAAUAAUGGCUACAUGACAAGAUAAACAUGCUACGUAGAAAACAAUAGAAUCUCGUUAACUAACGGGUCUAAUCAAAGAUCCUAUUAGUCUACCAUCGAAGAUAAUCGACUAGGUACUUUCCAAAGAUCCUAUUAGUCUACCAUCGAAGAUAAUCGACUAGGUACUUUCCAAUUCAAAGGUAAAAAGUGGAGAAGCCCGCACCGUCAUGAGACCGCGUGAUGUUGUGGACCGACUACGAGUAGAUGUAGUGGGUAAACAGCGAGUCUUUGUUUAUACCCUCAUGGUCGUUCCGGAACCAAGACUUGGUCAGGUAUAGGCUCUGUUGUAAACCCUUCCACAGACUAAAGUAAGUUAGAAAACGUAGUAAACGGUUCUUCCUACUCGGAUCUCGUAAGGCGGCAGGUACCGUCGCUAAGGUCCUCGCUCGAGGUAGAGGAUACUACGAAGAGUGUCGGGGUCGUAGGAGUACCGUCCAGUCCAGACGUAGUGGCUCCAUAAGACAAAGACCACUUUCCCGUCCAGAAGUGAAGACCUAAUGACGGAGGGAAGGGUUAAAUGAACGAUACACCUUCCACCAACGUGAUACCCCCUGUCACAGGUUCUCUCUCGGUGAAUUUACCAAUCUACAACUUCCGUUGACAUGUACAAAAUAAAGUGACAAAAAGUAGAAAAAGACCUCUACUAAAGUCAUGAAAGAUAAUGACACUACAAUCUUGGUUCUACGUACACAGUGUACACGGUAGUUAACACAUUACUUGAAAGAUAACACAAGGGCUACUAGAGUUUAGGGAC
rnacentral:rRNA from 1 species